CAACUUUCAAAGUUUUGUUAAUCUCUAUCGUUUUACUGUCAAAAAAAAAAAAAGUUGUUAAUCUCGUCCUCUGUUGGCUAAGCUUCUUCUGCACAAGCUAUGGUCUCAACUUUCCAGUUCCACACCUCUACUCGCUAUAUUUAGUAAUUCCUGUGCUUAAUUGCACACUUUUAUUGCAAAGGAAAAGCUUGGAGGAUUGGCUCAAAAAAGAAGAAGGGAAAUUUUGGAGGAAAGUUCCUGAAAUAGUAGGCAAAGGUUGCAGACUUCUAAGAGUGUUUAAGAUCAUUUUAAGCACAAAUUCCGAUGAGAUGAGAGAACAAAAAUGUUCUCGUAGUGGGGGUGUUAGAGGUCAAAUGUAUUGCGAAUCCCGGGCGUCCCAUGGUUCGUCAAAGAAUUCAAAGUCUGCAAAUUGACGCUGCAACCAAUUAUUUGAGGUGGUCAGAAAUAUGAAGAAUGUACAACUUGACACUAUUUGUUUGACUAUGCAUGCUUAGAUUGAGUACAUUUAUAGGACUAUUAAUUACACAACAUAUUUGUAAAAUUCCAGAAUUGUUUUUUUGGAACUUACCUCCGGG